rnacentral:rRNA from 1 species
AGAGUUGAUCCUGGCUUAGGAUGAACGCUAGCUACAGGCUUAACACAUGCAAGUCGAGGGGCAUCAUGGAGUUGCUUGCAAACUCUGAUGGCGACCGGCGCACGGGUGAGUAACGCGUAUCCAACCUUCCCUAUAGUAGAGGAUAGCCCGGCGAAAGUCGGAUUAAUACUCUAUGUUUUCCGUUGCAGACAUCUAAGAUGGAACAAAGGCUUGCCGCUAUAGGAUGGGGAUGCGUCUGAUUAGGUAGUUGGCGGGGUAACGGCCCACCGAGCCAUCGAUCAGUAGGGGUUCUGAGAGGAAGGUCCCCCACAUUGGAACUGAGACACGGUCCAAACUCCUACGGGAGGCAGCAGUGAGGAAUAUUGGUCAAUGGGCGAGAGCCUGAACCAGCCAAGUAGCCGUGCAGGACGACGGCCCUAUGGGUUGUAAACUGCUUUUAUGCGGGGAUAAAGUUCACUACGUGUAGUGUUUUGUAGGUACCGCAUGAAUAAGGACCGGCUAAUUCCGUGCCAGCAGCCGC